GACGAACGCUGGCGGCGUGCCUAACACAUGCAAGUCGAGCGAAUGAAGUUCCUUCGGGAAUGGAUUUAGCGGCGGACGGGUGAGUAACACGUGGGCAACCUGCCUCCUAGAGGGGAAUAGCCUUCCGAAAGGGAGAUUAAUACCGCAUAAGAUUGUAGUAUCGCAUGAUACAGCAAUUAAAGGAGCAAUCCGCUAUGAGAUGGGCCCGCGGCGCAUUAGCUAGUUGGUGAGGUAACGGCUAACCAAGGUGACGAUGCGUAGCCGACCAGGGAGGGUGAUCGGCCACAGUGGGACUGAGACACGGCACAGACUCCUACGGGAGGCAGCAGUGGGGAAUAUUGCACAAUGGGGGAAACCCUGAUGCAGCAACGCCGCGUGAGUGAUGACGGCCGUCGGGUUGUAAAGCUCUGUCUUCAGGGACGAUAAUGACGGUACCUGAGGAGGAAGCCACGGCUAACUACGUG
rnacentral:rRNA from 1 species